GUACUUGCUUCUGCAGCACAUACACUAAAAUUGGAAUGAUACAGAGAAGUAUGGCCCCUACACAGGGAUGACACACAAAUUGGUGAAGCAGUCCAUAUUGUA
ensembl:snRNA U6 U6 spliceosomal RNA